GAAUUGAAACAUUUCUGGCGGAUUUUUGUGAAUUUCUUCGGUUUUUCGUGUUUUUAUGAGAUUUUAGACGUUUUUUCGGCUUUAAAUCACCCCAAAACCCGUAAAAUUAGGUGUAUUUACCCCUGAAAUCGAGAAAAAUUCCUAGAAAAUUUGAUUUUAACGCUAAAUUCUUGUUUAAGCGGUUCCUCGCUGAAAAUUGGCCAAUUUUGAUGGUUUUUCAGCUAAAUUUCGGAUAAAAAUCGAAAUUUUUUGGAUUUUUAACGACUUUUUUGUGUUGUUUUUAGCAAUUUUCCGCCGAUUUUUAGGUAAUUUUUCGCUGAAAUUUGCU
ensembl:snoRNA Y73B3A.30 ncRNA